UACGUAGGGGGCAAGCGUUGUCCGGAAUCAUUGGGCGUAAAGAGCGCGUAGGCGGUCCGGUAAGUCGGUUGUGAAAACUGGGGGCUCAACCCUCAGAGGCCGACCGAUACUGUCGGGCUAGAGUCCGGAAGAGGCGAGUGGAAUUCCUGGUGUAGCGGUGAAAUGCGCAGAUAUCAGGAGGAACACCAAUGGCGAAGGCAGCUCGCUGGGACGGUACUGACACUGAGACGCGAAAGCGUGGGGAGCAAACAGG
rnacentral:rRNA from 1 species